GAUGAACGCUAGCGGCAGGCCUAAUACAUGCAAGUCGAACGGUGUCUUCGGACAUAGUGGCGCACGGGUGCGUAACACGUAUGCAACCUACCUUACAUUGGGGGAUAGCCUUUCGAAAGGGAGAUUAAUACCGCGUAAGACAGUAGCUGGGCAUCCAGCAGCUGUUAAAGAUUUAUCGAUGUAAGCUGGGCAUGCGUCCAAUUAGCUAGUUGGUGAGGUAACGGCUCACCAAGGCAAUGAUUGGUAGGGGAACUGAGAGGUCAAUCCCCCACACUGGCACUGAGAUACGGGCCAGACUCCUACGGGAGGCAGCGGUAGGGAAUAUUGGGCAAUGGACGCAAGUCUGACCCAGCCAUGCCGCGGGCAGGAUGAAGGCGUUAUGCGUUGUAAACUGCUUUUAUACAGGAAGAAACGACUCUUGCGAGAGGCAUUGACGGUACUGUAUGAAUAAGCACCGGCUAACUCCGUGCCAGCCGCCGCCGUAAGAC
rnacentral:rRNA from 1 species